rnacentral:tRNA from 1 species
GGUCCGGUAGCUCAGUGGUAGAGCAGCGAGGAACUCGCAGUCGGCAGUUCGAUUCUGCCCCGGACCACCA